AUGCAUGCCAAAACCUGGAAGUGUCACUCUAAUGCUGAAACCAACUAUUCUAGACUACUAAAUGCAUGGUUUCGGUUUGGACGAAUCAGGCUACCAACUAUUCUAGACUACCAAUGUUAUGGGGAAGCACCGAUUUCCGAAGGUGCGACGAAUCAGGCUCUCCUCCCUUCUCGCCAUCUCAGGGUACCUCAUGCGUUCUCCCUCGCCCACUGGCACAGCGCCGGGCGCUCCUCCUCGGUGAGCAGCCACACCCCGGCCAUCUCCUCGAACACCCCCAGCCAGCGCGCCACCCCGCUGGCGGCGAUGUCGAGGAGGCCGAUGGCGUCGCCGCCGAAGAACCGCUUCCCCGCCGGCAGCUGCGCCUCCAGCAGCGCCAGGCCCUCCUUGGCCUCCCUCGCCGCCGCCGCCCGCGCCUCGCCCGGCUCCGCCCACAGCGCCACCCACAGGGCCUUCCAGCACUGCACACGUUCGCUUGUACUACUGAUUAAAUCAAUGUACACUCUGUACUGUUCACCAGUGAGAUGCAGAUCUGCUGCUCACCUUGUCGUCGAGGAAGCGGGCCCAGAAGCGGGCGUUGGCGCGGGCGAGCGGGUCGGCGGGGAGCAGCGGCGGGCCGGCGGGGAAGGCCUCGUCGACGUACUCGACGAUGACGAGAGAUUCGGCGAUGGAGCGGUCGCCGUGGAGGAGGACGGGGACCUUCUUGUGGACGGGGUUGUGGGCGAGCAGCAGGUGGCUCUUGCUGGCCAUGUCGUCGUGGAGGAGGUCGUAGGGGACGCCCUUGAGGCGCAGGGCCACCUCUGCCCGGUGCACGUACGGGCUCAGCCAGCCGAUGAGCCUCACCGCCGGCCGUUCUGA
rnacentral:rRNA from 1 species